rnacentral:ncRNA from 2 species
GGAGGCUAUAGGGCCUAGCAGCCUUUACGACACAUAUAUGUUUAAGGCAUUGCCGUCUUCUUGGUGGCAUCUAAGCAAGUUUUUCU